rnacentral:rRNA from 1 species
UAGUAACGAUGGCGAAGAGGUCACACCCGUUCCCAUACCGAACACGGAAGUUAAGCUCUUCAGCGCCGAUGGUAGUUGGGGGUUUCCCCCUGUGAGAGUAGGACGUUGCUAGGC